AACGAAUCUUCCCCAAUGCACGAAAGUGUGAGGGAGCGACGCCGCGUGGAGGAUGAAGUCCUUCGGGAUGUAAACUCCUGUCAGGGGUUACCAAGUUCUGAGGAGCGCCAGAGGAAGAGGCGGCUAACUCUGUGCCAGCAGCCGCGGUAAGACAGAGGCCUCGAGCGUUAGGCGGAAUCACUGGGCUUAAAGCGCGUGUAGGCGGAUCGUUAAGUGCCUUGUGAAAUCCUGCGGCUCAACCGCAGAACCGCUGGGCAUACUGGCGAUCUUGGGCCACUCAGGGGUCACUGGAACAAGCGGUGGAGCGGUGAAAUGCGUAGAUAUCGCUUGGAACGCCAAAGGUGAAGACAGGUGACUGGGGGUGUGCCGACGCUGAGACGCGAAAGCCAGGGGAGCAAAC
rnacentral:rRNA from 1 species